rnacentral:rRNA from 1 species
UAACAGAUCCAGCUUGCUGGAUGCUGACGAGCGGCGGACGGGUGAGUAAUGCAUAGGAAUCUGCCCGAUAGUGGGGGAUAACCUGGGGAAACCCAGGCUAAUACCGCAUACGUCCUACGGGAGAAAGGGGGCUCCGGCUCCCGCUAUUGGAUGAGCCUAUGUCGGAUUAGCUAGUUGGUGAGGUAACGGCUCACCAAGGCCGCGAUCCGUAGCUGGUCUGAGAGGAUGAUCAGCCACAUCGGGACUGAGACACGGCCCGAACUCCUACGGGAGGCAGCAGUGGGGAAUAUUGGACAAUGGGGGCAACCCUGAUCCAGCCAUGCCGCGUGUGUGAAGAAGGCCCUCGGGUUGUAAAGCACUUUCAGCGAGGAAGAACGCCUAGCGGUUAAUACCCGCUAGGAAAGACAUCACUCGCAGAAGAAGCACCGGCUAACUCCGUGCCAGCAGCCGCGGUAAUACGGAGGGUGCAAGCGUUAAUCGGAAUUACUGGGCGUAAAGCGCGCGUAGGUGGCUUGAUAAGCCGGUUGUGAAAGCCCCGGGCUCAACCUGGGAACGGCAUCCGGAACUGUCAAGCUAGAGUGCAGGAGAGGAAGGUAGAAUUCCCGGUGUAGCGGUGAAAUGCGUAGAGAUCGGGAGGAAUACCAGUGGCGAAGGCGGCCUUCUGGACUGACACUGACACUGAGGUGCGAAAGCGUGGGUAGCAAACAGGAUUAGAUACCCUGGUAGUCCACGCCGUAAACGAUGUCGACCAGCCGUUGGGUGCCUAGCGCACUUUGUGGCGAAGUUAACGCGAUAAGUCG